rnacentral:rRNA from 1 species
GACGAAGGAUGCAAGCGUUAUCCGGAUUCAUUGGGUUUAAAGGGUGCGUAGGUGGGCAGGUAAGUCAGUGGUGAAAUCUCUGGGCUUAACCCGGAAACUGCCGUUGAUACUAUCUGUCUUGAAUGUAGUGGAGGUGAGCGGAAUAUGUCAUGUAGCGGUGAAAUGCUUAGAUAUGACAUAGAACACCCAUUGCGAAGGCAGCUUACUACGCCUAUAUUGACGCUGAGGCACGAAAGCGUGGGGAUCAAACAGG